rnacentral:rRNA from 1 species
UACAGGGGGUGCAAACGUUGCUCGGAAUUAUUGGGCGUAAAGCGCGCGUAGGCGGCUACUUAAGUCGGAUGUGAAAGCCCCUGGCUCAACUGGGGAAGUGCACCCGAAACUGAGUAGCUUGAGUGCAAAAGAGGGCCGCGGAAUUCCCGGUGUAGAGGUGAAAUUCGUAGAUAUCGGGAGGAACACCGGUGGCGAAGGCGGCGGCCUGGGUUGACACUGACGCUGAGGAGCGAAAGCGUGGGGAGCGAACAGG